GACAGAGGGUGCAAACGUUGCUCGGAAUCACUGGGCGUAAAGGGCGUGUAGGCGGGCAGGUAAGUCGGGCGUGAAAUCCCUGAGCUCAACUCAGGAACUGCACUCGAAACUACUUGUCUUGAGUACCGGAGAGGAAAGCGGAAUACCUGGUGUAGAGGUGAAAUUCGUAGAUAUCAGGAAGAACACCAAUGGCGAAAGCAGCUUUCUGGGACGGUACUGACGCUGAGACGCGAAAGCGUGGGGAGCGAACAGG
rnacentral:rRNA from 1 species